GUUGAUCCGUGGCUCAGGACGAACGCUGGCGGCGUGCUUAACACAUGCAAGUCGAACGAAGCUUGAUUAAAGAUUUCUUCGGAAUGAUUUAAGAUAUGACUGAGUGGCGGACGGGUGAGUAACGCGUGAGUAACCUGCCCUUCGGACGGGGGAUAGUGUUUGGAAACGAACAGUAAUACCGCAUAACGUGCAGAGAAGGCAUCUUUUUGUACCAAAGAUUUAUCGCCGAAGGAUGGACUCGCGUCUGAUUAGAUAGUUGGUGAGGUAACGGCUCACCAAGUCGACGAUCAGUAGCCGGACUGAGAGGUUGAACGGCCACAUUGGGACUGAGACACGGCCCAGACUCCUACGGGAGGCAGCAGUGGGGAAUAUUGCACAAUGGGCGCAAGCCUGAUGCAGCAACGCCGCGUGGAGGAAGACGGUUUUCGGAUUGUAAACUCCUGUUCUUAGGGAAGAAGCAAGUGACGGUACCUAAGGAGCAAGCCACGGCUAACUACGUGCC
rnacentral:rRNA from 1 species